rnacentral:rRNA from 1 species
GGGAGCUUGCUCCUGGAUUCAGCGGCGGACGGGUGAGUAAUGCCUAGGAAUCUGCCUGGUAGUGGGGGAUAACGUCCGGAAACGGGCGCUAAUACCGCAUACGUCCUGAGGGAGAAAGUGGGGGAUCUUCGGACCUCACGCUAUCAGAUGAGCCUAGGUCGGAUUAGCUAGUUGGUGGGGUAAAGGCCUACCAAGGCGACGAUCCGUAACUGGUCUGAGAGGAUGAUCAGUCACACUGGAACUGAGACACGGUCCAGACUCCUACGGGAGGCAGCAGUGGGGAAUAUUGGACAAUGGGCGAAAGCCUGAUCCAGCCAUGCCGCGUGUGUGAAGAAGGUCUUCGGAUUGUAAAGCACUUUAAGUUGGGAGGAAGGGCAGUAAGUUAAUACCUUGCUGUUUUGACGUUACCAACAGAAUAAGCACCGGCUAACUUCGUGCCAGCAGCCGCGGUAAUACGAAGGGUGCAAGCGUUAAUCGGAAUUACUGGGCGUAAAGCGCGCGUAGGUGGUUCAGCAAGUUGGAUGUGAAAUCCCCGGGCUCAACCUGGGAACUGCAUCCAAAACUACUGAGCUAGAGUACGGUAGAGGGUGGUGGAAUUUCCUGUGUAGCGGUGAAAUGCGUAGAUAUAGGAAGGAACACCAGUGGCGAAGGCGACCACCUGGACUGAUACUGACACUGAGGUGC